AAACCGUUGAAAGGGAAGCGAAUGGAGUUAGCAAUUCGCCCUGUCAGACUCAGCCGUUCGUGGUUCGCGACGUGCGCGCUCUCGAUCCGCAUGGACGAGACGUGUACGGGUGUGGGCUUCGAGCGGCGCACUUCUGGCGGGCGAGCGUCAGCGUCGGUUGUCGACGGGCGAUAAGGUCGCAAGGAAGGUGGACUCGUCCUCGGAGGGGUUGUUACAGCCUUGCGCUCGCAUAGCUCGACGGCGAUCGUGGCUCAUUGAGGCGACGCGUGCCUGGCUGGCGACUCUCGUUCUCGGUCCGGCAUGUCGACUGUGGCGGACGGCACGCCUGUGCGCUCGAACUGCUGCCGGUCGAUGGAKGGGAUGUUCGCACACGACGCGUCGAAGAUGCUGACGAUCAUACGGCUCCAUCCGACCCGUCUUGAAACACGGACCAAGGAGUCUAACAUGUGCGCGAGUCUCCGGGUGAUCGAAACCYGUGGGCAUAAUGAAAGUAAAGGCCG
rnacentral:rRNA from 1 species